rnacentral:tRNA from 1 species
CCCUGGCAGUCCAGUGGUUAGGACUCUGUGCUUUCACAGCUGAGGGCCUGGGUUCAAUCCCUGGUCAGGGA